GAGAGUAUUAGAUUUACCAUGAAAAUCAUAAGGAAAAAGGAACAUAGAAAGCAGGAAAGAAAAAGAAAAACAUUUCAAAGCAAAAACGAUGGUUUGUAAAUGGAUCAUGCAUCAAAAAUACAAAAUAAUAAAAUAUGACAUUGCCCCUAGCCAUAUUAGACAAAAAUCCUACCGAACGAGGCUCACCAAGGUACGAAGAAAUGCAAGACUCAACUACCUCCUAGCCUACAACCGUAAUACGUGACUUCCACAACUUCCGUCGUGCCAUGUCCUCGGAGAUCUGAAGCCUCGCCAUAUCGUUCCUGAUCACCUAACCCAAUACUUCUUAGGCCGUCCUCUACCUCUUCUCGGGCCUUCCACAAUUAGCCGCUCACAACUCCUAACUAGAGCGCUUGGGCUUCUCCUCUGUACAUGCCCGAACCAUCUGAGUCUCGCUUCCCCCAUCUUGUCCUUAAUAGGGGCAUCGUGCACCUUCUCCCGAAUAUCAUCAUCCCUAAUCUUAGCCUUUCUUUUGUGCCCACAUAUCCACCUCAACAUCCUCAUUUCUGCUACUUUCAACUUUUGGAUAUGUGAGUUCUUAAUAGGCUAACACUCAGCCCCAGACAACAUGUUCGGUCUAACCACCGCUAUAUAGAAAUUGCCUUCGAGUAUCGUUGGUACUCUCUUAUCACACAAAACUCCAGAUGCUAACCUCCACAUCAUCCAUCCUACACCAAUACGGUGUGCGACAUCCUCGUCAAUCUCCCCUCCCCUGUAGAUAGUCGAACAAAAGUACUUGAAGCUGCCUCUAUUUGGGAUAAUUUGUGACUCAAGCCUCGCAUCCAUAUCAACUUCCCCCGUCCUGGCGCUGAACUUACACUCGAGAUAUUACGUCUCGUUCUGUUAACCUUGAAGCCCUUACACUCAAGAGUCUAUCUCCAAACUUCCAAUCUCUCGUUAACACCGGCUCGUGACUCGUCAAUCAGAACUAUGUCAUCAGUGAAUAGCAUGCACCAUGGCACCUCUCCUUGAAUAAGGUCUGAUAUCGCAUCCAUCACCAGGGUGAAUAAGAACGGACUGAGCGUAGAGCCUUGGUGUAAUCCCAUUUCAACCGCGAAAGGCUCAGAGUCCCCUCCUACUGUCUUAAUCCUAGUCUUAGCCCCUUCAUACAUGUCCUUGAUUGCCAUAACAUAAGGAACUGGCAUACCUUUUGCCUCCAAUCAUAUCCAGGGAACUUCUCUAGGAACCUUGUCAUAUGUUUUCUCUAGGUCAAUUAAAACUAUGUGCAAAUCCUUCUUUCUUUCUCUGUACAGUUCCACCAACCUCUUAACAAGGUGUAUAGCUUCUGUGGCGGAAUGACCCGUCAUUAACCCAAACUGGUUGUCGGAUACAGAUAAUGCCAUCCUCACUCUUGUUUCCACCACUCUCUCCCAUACUUUCAUGGUGUGGCUCCGUAAUUUGAUACCCCUAUAAUUGUUAAAACUCAGAAUAUAACCUUUGUUCUUGUACAAUAGAACCACCGUACUCCACCUCCACUCAUCCGAAAUCCUCUCUUCCUCAAAUAUAACAUUAAACAACCCAGUCAACCACUCCACACCUGCUCUCCCUACACACUUCCAAAAUUCCACCGGAAUCUCGUCUGGCCCAGUCACUCUGCCCCUACUAAUCUCAUGCAUAGCCCCGACGACCUCCUCGACCUCGAUACGCAUGCAGGGCCCGAAGUCACGAUGGCUUUCAGGAUGCUCCAAUUCGCCUAGCACAAUAUCACGAUACUCUUUUUCAUUCGGAAGUUUAUGAAAGUAAGUUUUCCAUCUUCUCUUAAUCUGGGCAUCUUCCAUCAAUACUCUACCAUCUUCGUCCUUAAUACAUUUCACUUGUUCCAAAUCUCGAGCCUUCCUCUCUCUCAGUUUGGCCCACCAGAAUAACUUCUUCUCCCCACCUUUUUACCCUAGUUCCUUGUACAUACGACCAUAAGCCGCAUUCUUAGCCUCUGUGCCCGAUAACUUAGCUUCUUUCCUAGUUACCUUAUAUCUCUCCAAGCACGCACUCCUCUCGUCCUCACCUAUGCUCUUCAAUAACUUUUGGUAUGUUGCCCUCUUUGUUUCCACUUUUCCUUGGACCACUUCACUCCACCACCAAUCACUUUUGUGCUUGCCAGAAACACCGGAUGAGACCCCUAACACCUCUCUCGCAGAUUCCCUUCUACAGUCUGCUGUCGCUGACCACAUAGUGUUCGCGUUCCCACUACUCCUCCAAGCUCCCACAUCCGACAACCGAUACGCUAACUCUUGGGCUUUAUCCUUAGUCAAAACUCCACACCUGAAAUAUUACUUCAAUACUAACAGAGAAUACUACAAGGAAAUAAAAAGCAUAAAAAAGUCUUGGAUUUAACAUUACGACCCCAAGCUUGAUUUCUAGAUUGAAACCUGAAACCUCAACAUUUAUCCAUAUGGUAAAUUUCCUGAAGAUGCUUCAUGUAAUCUAAACAUGCUCAAAUCUUCAUCAACUGCUAUUAAAAAUCUGCAUUACAACAUUCAAACGUUACCUGGGUCGCAGAAAAAAUAUAUAACAAUAAAUAAUAAGAGCUUAACAAUAGAAAUAGCAGAAAGCAACAACUAAAACAACAGAAAACACGCAGCAUAUUCGCGCUUAAACAGCCCAAAAAUCUUAGAGCAGGAGCCCAUAACAAACUCUAAAAAACUUGUCUUACUGAAUGACCUUUCACUAUAAGAACCGCUUACAAAGCUUACAAUUUCACCUUACUUUCUUGAUGUUCGGUUACUUUUUUUAACUCUCAAAGUUACCUUUUUAGCGUGUAAAAGUUGCAUAUAUUGUGUGAUGGAGUGGCUGUUAUGUGAGGAAAGAGAAGUCAUUUAAGGACAGAAUUUGUAUACCAAAUACUGUUCAAAGACUAUCCAAAAGGUAAAAGAAUAACCAGAAAAUCUGUUGUGGCGGAAGCAAGGAGGAAAAGGGUCUUUUCAGCAACCCUACUAGCAAAAGUAUGCUACUAAUGUACCCUAUUUCAUGAUUGAUUUUCCAAUAUUCGGCAUUAAACCAUCAACACCAAGCAAACUUGCUCAACAUAAACCAAACUCAAACUAGAAUUCAACUCACUAAUUGAAUUGGCUAAUGAAACAUAACCUCAAUCAUAACUAAACUAUGUACUCUCAACUAACUAGAUUAAACCAAAUUAAAUUAUGCAAACUAAAACGAAAAGUUAAACAAUUGACUAGUAGUAAUUGCUUAACUGACAAAUCUUCAAAGGUGACAUUACUAAUUUCGAUUUGAACACGCAUAACACUUUGGCAAGUGAUAUAAUUGACGACUAGGUUAGACAACAACAAUUCCAAAUACAACUAUACUAAAACCAGGAGCGAUCACAUUCGAGUACUAAUAAUUAUUAAAGACCAAUAAUUAAUGAUAAAAUUACAAAAGAUGAAUUAUAACCUAAAGCAUGGCAUACUGGCGGAGAAUAAGGAAAAUAGAAAAAAGGGCGAGAUUUGGUAUUUGUUACCACUCGAGGAGACGGUUCCGACCUUCGAGCACCCUUUUCUUGAUGAAAGAUGAUGGUUCAGCCAUCCUCGAAACCACAGCCUUGGCAACAUCAUCCUGUCAGAAAUAAAAGAAUGCUUAAGAGUCGCGGAGGAAAACUGGAGGAAAGUGUGAUAGUUUGGUGGUGGAUGGCGGAGCAGUCGGCGGCAGUGGAGGAGCUGUUGAAGGUAAAUCUACAUCUCCUUAAGAUCUACACGUUUAUAUAUAACUAGCUAAUUAGGCCGCGCUUCGUGUGGUAAAUAUUUCUUUUUAUAAAUUUGGUUGUUAAAAUUUUUCAAAAGAAAUUUUUUCAGCAACUUUGGUGCCUUUUGUAUUCGAAGCUAAUCAUAGAGAUGCCACACGGGGCAGGUCGGUAGAAGUGGAAAUCUUCAUACGCCUGGGGGUGGAGAGUGAAAAUUGUACCUUUUAUUUUCAACUUCUUUUGCACGUUAACUUUUUCCAUUCAUGUCAAUCUUUCAGCAUAUGAGGAAAAUGAGAUCAAACAAUCAUCGGGAAUUUGUUGUUUAACGUUAAUUUCUAGCGCUUACAAAUGAUAUAAUAAAUAUAUUCUAAGUCAUUCCUUGCCGGAAUUAUCUAAUAAACUCCUAUAAAUAUGUCUGGUAUCAGUUCAGCUUGUUUAACUUGAAAAGAUUCAAUCUGCAACCUUAAAUAUAUGAAAAUAGAUUCAGGUGCAAUUAGGACAAGAGGGGUUGCACUGAUGGUAAGCAACCCCCACUUCCAAACGAGAGGUUGUGAGUUCGAGUCUCCCCAACAGCAAGCUGGGAAGUUCUUGGAGGGAAGGAUGCCGGAGGUCUAUUUGGAAACAGCCUCUCUACCCAAGGGUAGGGGUAAGGUCUGCGUACAUAUUACCCUUCCCAGACCCCACUAAGUGGGAUUAUACUGGGUUGUUGUUUGUUUGUUUCUCUUAACUUGCUUCUAUACUCUUUCCAGGCCUCAAAAUUAUCAACCGAUGGUAGGGCUAAGGUCUGCGUACAUAUUACCCUCCCCAGACCCCACUAAGUGGGAUUAUACUAGAUUGUUGUUGUUGUUGGAUUGGAAAGUCACAAACGCAAUAAUGUUUAGGAAAUUUUUACAUACACAUAUAUUUGAACUCAUUCUUUGCAUGAAUGAUAUGGUAAAACUCAUUUAUAUAUAUCAGCUCUCAGUUGUACUUGUUUAUUUGUAAAAUAUUCAAUUCGUAUUUGUGAGAUUUCCCUAUA
rnacentral:lncRNA from 1 species